rnacentral:tRNA from 1 species
GCGGGGGUUGCCGAGUCAGGAAAAGGCGCCGGCUUGAGGGGCCGGUCCCGUAGGGGUUCGAGGGUUCAAAUCCCUCCCCCCGCACCA